rfam:Lingula anatina scaffold136, whole genome shotgun sequence.
GAAUGAUUAACUUAAUGGUAAAGUAUUUGGCUCUUAACCAAAAAAUGCGGGUUCGAUUCCCGCAUCGUUCA